rnacentral:rRNA from 1 species
UAANGGCGNANCCUGUNGCAGCGACACCGCGNUGUUGGGAUGAAGCCCUUAGGGGUGUAAACCACUUGNUGGCGAGGGAUGAAUUUUGACAGUACCUCGCUAGAAAGCACUUGCUAACUACGUGCCAGAAGCCUCGGUAAUACGUANAGUGCGAGCAUUAUCCGGAUUUACUGGGCGUAAAGCGUACCGUCGGUGACCUGGUAAGUUUAUUGUCCAAGCCUGGAGCUUAACUCCAGAUCGGCAGUAAAAACUACUAGGAUUGAGUCUGUUCGGGGAACUUGGAAUUCUCGGUGGAGGGGUGAAAUCCGUAGAUAUCGAGAGGAACGCCAAGCGCGAAGGCAGGGUUCUAGAACACGACUGACACUCANGGACGAAAGCUAGGGGAGCAAAAGGGAUUAGAGACCCCUGUAGUCCUAGCCGUAAACAUUGGAUGCUAGUUGCUUCACUUCGGUGGAGUGACGUAAGCUAACGCGUUAAGCAUCCCGCCUGGGAAGUACGACCGCNAGGUUAAAACUCAAAGGAAUUGACGGGGGAGCGCACAACCGGUGGAGCAUGUUGUUUAAUUCGAUACGAAGCGAAAAACCUUACCAAGAUUUGACAUGUAACUGCACGGUCAUGGAAACAUGGCCUUCUUCGAGAGUGUUACACAGGUGAUGCAUGGCUGUCGUCAGCUCGUGUCGUGAGACGUCCGCUUAAGUGCGGUAACGAGCGCAACCCUUAUCCCGCGUUAUAUUUUCACNGGAGACUGCCCCUGUUCUACANGGGAGGAAGGAGAGGACGACGUCAAGUCAGCACGUCCCUUACAUCUUGGGCUACAAACAUCCUACAAUGGAGCCGACAACAGGUCGCGACGGGGCCAACCCUGAGCCAAUCCUGCAAACGGNCCCCUCAGUUCAAAUGCGGGCUGCAAUUCCGCCCGCAUGAANNCNGAAUCCGGUAGNAUUCGCAAAUNNNCCCGGUUNNG